ensembl:snRNA U6 U6 spliceosomal RNA
GUGGUCGCUUUGGCAGCACAUAUACCAGAAUUGGAACAAUACAGAGAAGAUUAGCAUGGCCCCUGCUUGAAGAUGACACACAAAUUUGUGAAGCAUUCCAUAUUUUC